rnacentral:rRNA from 1 species
ACUUUUAACAACGGAUCUCUUGGCUCUCGCAUCGAUGAAGAACGCAGCGAAUUGCGAUAAGUAUUGUGAAUUGCAGAUUCAAGUGAAUCAUCGAAUCUUUGACGACCCUUGCGCUCCUUGGAUUCGGGGAGCAUGCUGUUUGAGUGUCAUUA